AUGGCCACCGCAACCUCCUUAUCCCUCCACGGCCAUGGCCUCGGCCUCCCUUCCCCGACCGCUAAGACGCCGGCGCGGAGGCUGCUCUCCGUCACCGUCAGGGCCAUGGCGCCGCCCAACCCCAGCAAAGGUGAAGCUGCUGCGGCGGAGAGCUCCCCGCGGCGGCAGGUGCUGGUGGCGGGGGCUGCCGUGGCCGCCGCGGCGCUCGUCUCCCGGCCCGCUCCGGCGGCAUUCGCGGCGGCGGACGGCAAGUUCAUGCCGGUCAUCGACCGGAAGGCCGGCUACUCCUUCGUCUACCCGUUCGGAUGGCAGGAGGUGUCGGUGCAAGGGCAGGACAAGGUGUACAAGGACGUGAUCGAGCCCCUCGAGAGCGUCAGCAUCAACAUGAUCCCCACCACCAAGGAAGACAUCCGCGACCUCGGCCCGCCCGACCAGGUCGCCGAUGCUUUGGUACGGAAAGUCCUAUCUCCGCCCACGCAGAAGACCAAGUUGAUCGAGGCGAAAGAGACCGAUAUCGAUGGAAGAGCUUACUACACUUUUGAGUUCACGGCUCAGGCUCCAAAUUUCACAAGACAUGCACUUGGCACAAUUACCAUAGCAAAUGGCAAGUUUUACACGUUGGCGACGGGCGCAAGCGAGAGGAGAUGGGACAAAAUGAAGGAUAGGCUACAUACAAUUGUUGACUCCUUCAAAAUUGAAACAAAAGUGUGA
rnacentral:rRNA from 1 species